GGGCGUUUAGCGCAGUGGUAGCGCGUAUGCUUUGCACUAAGCAUUCAAUAUGUAUAAGGUCCAGGGUUCAAUCCCCUGAACGUCCA
rfam:Suillus luteus TH-Slu-Lm8-n1 unplaced genomic scaffold CY34scaffold_129, whole genome shotgun sequence.